rnacentral:lncRNA from 1 species
GUCAACCUCAAUCAGUGUUUCUGUUUAUUAAUGAUACCUGAAAAUAUCCUACAACCACUUUCCGCCCUCAUCAACUUCUCAUUUGAUUGUUGUUGACAUCUCUUUCAGCCCCCUAACUGCAUGUUCUAGCUAUAACAACCCCCACCUAACCCAGCCCCGUCCCCCGCCUUGCAGGUGAAGUGAUUCUAACAUGUCAACAGAAGGUGUUUUUGUGGAGGACACAAAUAAUUCAUGUAGUUCUGCACCGAAGAAUAAGCUAAAAUUCUUGUGCAGCCAUGGUGGCAAGAUCCCUCCCCGGCCGGCCGAUGGCCACCUGAAGUAUGUUGGUGGCUAAACCCGUCUUAUUUCUGUUCUGUGCCUGGAGACAUCAGUUUCCAAGGUUAUAUUUAAGUUUUCAUUUGUAUAAAACAAUUCUUUCUUUGUUUUCAUUUUUAUAUAGCAAUAUGCAUUUCUUUAGCCUCCAUCGCUACCUAAUGUGUUAAAACAGAUACAAGAAAUGAGAACAGAAUUCUUCUCUAACGAUAUUCUAUUCUAAAAAUAAAAUUUUAUUGUUUAUAAAUCAUUAAGUUCGAAAGGAGGGAAAUAUGGGGACAAUGUUACAUUGAAUCGUUUCAAGUCCAACAGCAACAAACCAAGUCUUAUUCACAAUAAAUUUGAGAUCAACCAUGUGCAUUAGGAUUCAUGUUAUAAGACAUUGUAUAGUUUUUAUGCUAGUCGACCGACUGCAAUCCUAUUGAGCAAAACGGGUAUUUCUUUGUCUGCUAACAACUUUUAGUUCUAGUAUUUGUCGUUAAUUAUCAGGCAGCAAUACAUCUUGUUUAGCAAAAAGACGGGUAUUUCUUGCUCAUGCACGAAAAGAGACUGUGACAGGUCUUUCCUGACUUCUGUUUCUUCUAAAUGAAAUAACAUGCUUCGUGUUUUUACUGCGUAUAGAAAUUAUGACAAAGCUCACUUACCUGAUUGAUGGUGGAAUGCUCAAGUAUCAGCUGCAUCUGGAGGACCUUGAUGCAUUGGUGUCAGUGUGAUCCGAUGAAUAUCUAGCUACAUGUUCGAUGAUCAUGACCGUCAUGAAAGUGCGGGAAGUCUGAAGCUUCGAGCUUGACUGUUCCCUGCAAACCUUACUGUAAUUGAGAACCAAAUGGCAUUCGCAGAACAUCGUGCACUUGAGCUACGAUACAUUGAUGCCAUCAAUGGCAUAAUCCGUGUUACACCAUGGAGCACAAAACCACAUCCAGUUAUCAUCGUAGGACAACGUGGGA